rnacentral:lncRNA from 1 species
UUCAAUAAUUUAAAAACUUUAUUAACUUUUUAUAGAAGUGUUAAUAGCGAUAACACAGAAGGUGAGUUGAUAUUAAUAACACUUGUUCUUUUGAGUGUUAGCACUUGAAAAUAUAUAUGAAGAAGAUUGAAUGGGCUUAAAUAUGUGCUAUCAGUAUACCACCGUUAAAGUAAACAAAAGAAUACUAACGAAGGGACUUAUUUGAGGCAAACUAAAAUAUAUGAUUGAUAUUAUUU